rnacentral:lncRNA from 1 species
GCACAGGUGGCUCGGCGGUGGCCGAGGGAGGUGCCGAGGAGCUCCAGCGACCCUCCACCGGCGACGGCAGAACAAGACGGAGCAAAGGCGUGUGGCUCGGCACUGCACGCCAUGAAAGGAGAGCCCCCGGGAUGGCAUGUCCACAGUGACCUCCAUGAGCAGAGCUUUGGAGCUCGGGUUGGCAUUGUUAGGGCCAUACUAGACGAAAUUGAUGGAGAGUUAGUUCCUAGUGGAAUAGGAGGAGUCAUAGGAGUGAGGUAUUACUGA